CUCCCAUCGUCGGCUCGAGCGGCUCUUCGAGACCCUCAUUGGCUCGCCGCGAUGCAGGAGGAGUUCGACGCUCUUCAGCGUAACCGCACCUGGCAGCUGGUGCCUCGGCCGCCGCACGCUAACGUGAUCAGCGGCAAAUGGGUCUUUCGGCAUAAGACCCGGCCUGACGGGACCCUUGAGCGCUACAAGGCUCGGUGGGUCGUUCGUGGUUUCCGUCAGCGCGCCGGUGUGGACUUCACCGACACCUUCGCCCCGGUUGUCAAACCGGGCACUAUCCGCACUGUCCUCCAGCUGGCGGUCUCCCGCGCAUGGCCCGUCCACCAGAUGGACGUCUCCAACGCAUUCCUUCAUGGCCAUCUCGCCGAGCAGGUCUACUGUCAGCAGCCCAUCGGCUUCGUCGACGCCACUCAGCCGGAUCACGUGUGCCUGCUCUCGCGCUCACUCUAUGGGCUCAAGCAGGCUCCUUGUGCUUUGUACCAGCGGAUCGCUGCCUUCCUUCAGCAGCUUGGCUUCGUGGCCACCCGCUCGGAUGCCUCUCUGUUCGUCUACCAGCACGCUCUUGGGACGGCUUACCUGCUGCUCUACGUCGAUGACAUCAUCCUGACUGCUUCCACGACCGAGCUUCUCCGACAGCUCACGACUCGCCUCGGCACCGAGUUCGCGAUGAAGGACCUCGGUCCUUUACACUACUUCCUCGGGAUCGAGGUAGUGCGUCGUGCGGACGGGUUCUUUCUUCAUCAGCAGCAGUACGCCCAGGAGUUACUCGAGCGCGCCGGCAUGCUUAACUGCAAGCCCGCUCCUACGCCUAUCGACACGAAGGCUAAGGUCUCCGCUCUUGAGGGCACCCCGGCGCAGGAUGCCGCCUUUUACCGGUCCAUUGUUGGGGCCCUGCAGUACUUGACGCUCACUCGUCCCGACCUACAGUACGCGGUUCAGCAGGUGUGCCUCCACAUG
rnacentral:rRNA from 1 species